rnacentral:rRNA from 1 species
GAUGAACGCUGGCGGCGUGCCUAAUACAUGCAAGUCGAGCGAACAGAUGAGGAGCUUGCUCCUCUGACGUUAGCGGCGGACGGGUGAGUAACACGUGGAUAACCUACCUAUAAGACUGGGAUAACUUCGGGAAACCGGAGCUAAUACCGGAUAAUAUAUUGAACCGCAUGGUUCAAUAGUGAAAGACGGUUUUGCUGUCACUUAUAGAUGGAUCCGCGCCGCAUUAGCUAGUUGGUAAGGUAACGGCUUACCAAGGCAACGAUGCGUAGCCGACCUGAGAGGGUGAUCGGCGACACUGGAACUGAGACACGGUCCAGGCUCCUACGGGAGGCAGCAGUAGGGAAUCUUCCGCAAUGGUCGAAAGCCUUACGGAGCAACGCCGCGUGAGUGAUGAAGGUCUUCGGAUCGUAAAACUCUGUUAUUAGGGAAGAACAAAUGUGUAAGUAACUAUGCACGUCUUGACGGUACCGAAUCAGAAAGCCACGGCUAACUACGUG